rnacentral:tRNA from 1 species
GGGGGUGUAGCUCAGUGGUAGAGUCCUCGAUUUGCAUGCGAGAGAACCAGGGUUCGAAACCCAGCGCUUUCA